CGAGUUGGCCGGGCGGCCGCGGGUCGUCGAAAGACGGCACGAGGAAAGUCCGGACUUCACAGAGCAGGGUGGUUGCUAACAGCAACCCGAGGUGACUCGCGGGACAGUGCCACAGAGAACAGACCGCCACCGUCGCGUCUCCGGGCGUGGCGGGGGUAAGGGUGAAACGGUGCGGUAAGAGCGCACCAGCAUCCCGGGUGACCGGGAUGGCUAGGCAAACCCCACCCGAAGCAAGGCCAAGAACGCCGCACCUCGGUGCGGCGGCGCAGGCGCUCGAGGGUUGCUCGCCCGAUGCCUGCGGGUAGGCCGCUUGAGGCACCCGGUGACGGAGUGUCCAGAUGGAUGGUCGCCGCCCCGCCGCCGCGGUAGCGGUGGUGGGGUACAGAAUCCGGCUUACAGGCCGACUCGUCCG
rnacentral:RNase_P_RNA from 2 species